AGCAUAUCAAUAAGCGGAGGAAAAGAAACUAACAAGGAUUCCCCUAGUAACUGCGAGUGAAGCGGGAAAAGCUCAAAUUUAAAAUCUGGCGGUCUCUGACUGUCCGAGUUGUAAUCUAGAGAAGCGUUAUCCGCGCUGGACCGUGUACAAGUCUCCUGGAAUGGAGCGUCAUAGAGGGUGAGAAUCCCGUCUUUGACACGGACUGCCAGGGCUUUGUGAUGCGCUCUCAAAGAGUCGAGUUGUUUGGGAAUGCAGCUCAAAAUGGGUGGUAAAUUCCAUCUAAAGCUAAAUAUUGGCGAGAGACCGAUAGCGAACAAGUACCGUGAGGGAAAGAUGAAAAGAACUUUGGAAAGAGAGUUAAACAGUACGUGAAAUUGCUGAAAGGGAAACGCUUGAAGUCAGUCGCGUUGGCCAGGGAUCAACCUUGCUUUUGCUUGGUGUACUUUCUGGUUGACGGGUCAGCAUCAAUUUUGACUAUUGGAAAAAGGUCAAGGGAAUGUGGCAUCUUCGGAUGUGUUAUAGCCCUUGGUUGCAUACAAUGGUUGGGAUUGAGGAACUCAGCACGCCGCAAGGCCGGGUUUUAACCACGUACGUGCUUAGGAUGCUGGCAAAAUGGCUUUAAUCGACCCGUCUUGAAACACGGACCAAGGAGUCUAACAUGCCUGCGAGUGUUUGGGUGGAAAACCCGAGCGCGUAAUGAAAGUGAAAGUUGAGAUCCCUGUCGUGGGGAGCAUCGACGCCCGGACCAGACCUUUUGUGACGGUUCCGCGGUAGAGCAUGUAUGUUGGGACCCGAAAGAUGGUGAACUAUGCCUGAAUAGGGUGAAGCCAGAGGAAACUCUGGUGGAGGCUCGUAGCGAUUCUGACGUGCAAAUCGAUCGUCAAAUUUGGGUAUAGGGGCGAAAGACUAAUCGAACCAUCUAGUAGCUG
rnacentral:rRNA from 1 species